AGGCCACGGCAGCUCCGAUGAAACCGGUCAGGGAGACUGUCCACCCUCUCCAGCUAUGGCUUCACUGAGUCUGGCUCUCAGAUUAUCAGUGAUACACCUGCCCUUUGAAGAUAAGCUGGGAAACAGAAGACUGAAGCAACAGCUCCAUCA